rnacentral:rRNA from 1 species
UACGUAGGUGGCAAGCGUUGUCCGGAAUUAUUGGGCGUAAAGCGCGCGCAGGCGGUCCUUUAAGUCUGAUGUGAAAGCCCACGGCUCAACCGUGGAGGGUCAUUGGAAACUGGGGGACUUGAGUACAGAAGAGAAGAGUGGAAUUCCACGUGUAGCGGUGAAAUGCGUAGAGAUCAGGAGGAACACCCAUGGCGAAGGCAGCGUCUCUGGUCGACCUCGUGACGCUGAGGCGCGAAAGCUAGGGGAGCAAACAGG